GAGAAGGAAGAAGAGCUCGUGGUUCCAGGCCUAUAUUCUUCUCGGGAUUGGAAAAAUCUGUCAUUACCGUCGGACUUUCUGGUGGAUAGACAUAUGCCGGAAAAUGUGUCGGCCUAACUGGCGGAAUAUACGCCAGAUAAAAAUUCAAUGGCUGAGGAGAGCUUGAUGUGGCUGUCUAAUUCUAGGGAAGGGCUUGAUGAGGUGCAUGAUAUCUCUCCAUUCUUAGUUCUUUAAGAAAUUUGUAUUUCUUUCUUAAAGAUUAGCCUAGCUAGGUCUAAAACAUGUUAGGGAUUUGUAAUCUUUGUGCAAGUUAAUAGGAAGGUAUAUUGUGCAAAA